rnacentral:rRNA from 1 species
UACGUAGGGGGCGAGCGUUAUCCGGAUUCACUGGGUGUAAAGGGAGCGUAGACGGGUUAUCAAGUCAGCGGUAAAAUCGUGGAGCUCAACUCCAUCCAGCCGUUGAAACUGAUGAUCUUGAGUGGGCGAGAAGUAUGCGGAAUGCGUGGUGUAGCGGUGAAAUGCAUAGAUAUCACGCAGAACUCCGAUUGCGAAGGCAGCAUACCGGCGCCCGACUGACGCUGAAGCACGAAAGCGUGGGUAUCGAACAGG